ensembl:lncRNA
UGACCCUCUAUACAAGAGGGAAAAAAAAUAGCUGCAAAAUUCAGCUUAUUUAGCAAGGAAAGAAACUCCUAAGAUGGGAGAAAAUGAUGAAGUAGAUGAAGCAGGAUUAUCACAAGAAUAGGAGGAGGGAGAGGCAGAAGUCAUAAAGGAGACAGAAACUGUCUGACUGUGAACCAUGGUCACAGAAUAACAGAACUGUAGGGUGUAAGAGAUUAUUCUUUUGCAUCAUUGUCUCAAAGCUUGCUGAGGGACACAGACGAACAAGUUCAAGCAAGUCCUGACCAAGGAUUGGGAAAUCCUUUGUCUGGAGGGACAACAGAUGGACAAGGCCAGGGGAGAUGAGAGAGAGAAGCUGCGGCUCAAUGGUCAGGAAACAGCCUUUUGUGUGGACUUAUCUCAAGGGAGACAGCCAUCUCAGGGGGUGCUCACAUGAAUCUUACCCAAGCGCCCAGGGAUGUCACAUAGGCAGGGAAGAAGGAGGAUAAAAGAGGAACGAACAACCAUGAGCUAGGGUUUCUGACUACAGAUCCCUCAUGAAGAAAGGUUUCUGUCAACAGAUUCCUCACGACCUGAGACCUGCAUGCUGAAGAACAAGAAGGUUUCUGACAUGAGAAACCUCAUGACCUGCCUCUCCCUCCUGGACUUGCUCUGUGCUCUACCUGCCUGCUGCCUAAGGAGGCUCUCCCUCUGCUGCUGCUCUCCCUCCCGAGAAGGUGUCUGCCAUCAGAUCCCUCACUACAAAAGGCCUGCAUGCUGAUGGACUCUCCAGGGCCUGCUACUGGAGAUCUGCUGUUUCUUCCCAGACUUCUUCCCGGACCUACUCGGUACCUGCACCUUCUCGCUGCCCAAGACUGGCCAUGCUGCUGCUGCUUUCCCCCUGCGCUUUUGCCCUGGACCGUUGGAACGUCAUGCAACAGGACUACUGCCAGAUCCUGGUGGUGACUAUCCCCGCUUUAUGCAAUUCCUGCUUCUUCCUAUCUUUUCUAUUGCUCGCCUUCCCUUCUCCAUCACCCCAAUCCUAAUAGUGUCCAUUCUCCC